rnacentral:lncRNA from 7 species
GUGUUACAUGGUGGGCCUCUCAAACUGCAUUCGUCUUUGCAUAAUAGCUUGUUACAAACGAAACUGCCUCACCCGUGUAUCACGCCGCCGGCCCCGCAUCACGUGCACGCGCUUAAUUGGGCGCUGCGUGUGCCACCUCCUGUCAGCUCUAUCCCGUAUCACCGCUCGUUGAUAUUUCCCCGCGUCCAAAGCCGAUCCCUCGUAACAGCAGCCGGUUCGUUGAUAUUUCCCCGCAUCCAAAGCCGAUCCCUGCCCCUAUAUAAGCAGACCACGUACCUGUUGGUCAUUGCUCCAUCGCCUAGUCGAAGAAGAUCCCCUUGUCCAUCUUGUGCCACCACGAGCGAGCGUUGUCGCAGAUGCAAGAUAAAGAAGAUCGCCACUGAGAGAUAGGGUGUGACGAUUUCGACUUGCGCCUAUGCUGCACCCUCGGAUACAGCAAGUCAUCUGGGAGAUAGAGAAGGAGCUGAGAAAAGGAGAAAGGAAGUGAGGUCACGAGAAACUGAA